rnacentral:tRNA from 1 species
CAUUAAGAAGCUAUGUACCAGCACUAGCCUUUUAAGCUAGACAAAGAGGAAAUUCUCCUCCUUAAUGG